UUUCUUUGCUGGCGACCGGCGCACGGGUGAGUAACACGUAUCCAACCUGCCCUUUACUCGGGGAUAGCCUUUCGAAAGAAAGAUUAAUACCCGAUAGCAUAAUGAUUCCGCAUGGUUUCAUUAUUAAAGGAUUCCGGUAAAGGAUGGGGAUGCGUUCCAUUAGGUUGUUGGUGAGGUAACGGCUCACCAAGCCUUCGAUGGAUAGGGGUUCUGAGAGGAAGGUCCCCCACAUUGGAACUGAGACACGGUCCGA
rnacentral:rRNA from 1 species